CUGCAACUCGCCUGUAUGAAGUUGGAUCGCUAGUAAUCGUGGAUCAGCAUGCCACGGUGAAUACGUUCCCGGGUCUUGUACACACCGCCCGUCACACCAUGGGAGCUGGUAACACCCGAAGUCAGUAGUCUAACCGCAAGGAGGACGCUGCCGAAGGUGGGAUUAGCGACUGGGGUGAAGUCGUAACAAGGUACC
rnacentral:rRNA from 1 species